UGGGGAGUGGUCGAGUGGUAAGACGUCUGGCUCUGGACCAGAAGAGCCCAGGUUCGAAUCCUGGCUCCCCAGCCA
rnacentral:tRNA from 1 species